UACAGAGGGUGCAAGCGUUGUUCGGAAUUAUUGGGCGUAAAGGGCGCGUAGGCGGUGCGGUAAGUCUCUAGUGAAAUCUCCGGGCUCAACUCGGAGCCUGCUAGGGAAACUGCCGUGCUUGAGUGUGGGAGAGGUGAGUGGAAUUCCCGGUGUAGCGGUGAAAUGCGUAGAUAUCGGGAAGAACACCCGUGGCGAAGGCGGCUCUCGUGGGACGGUACUGACGCUGAG
rnacentral:rRNA from 1 species